CGUGUAGGCGGCCAAGCAAGUCAGAGGUGAAAGCCCUGGGCUCAACCUGGGAACUGCCUUUGAAACUGUUUGGCUUGAGACCGGAAGAGGAUGGCGGAAUUCCCAGUGUAGAGGUGAAAUUCGUAGAUAUUGGGAAGAACACCGGUGGCGAAGGCGGCCAUCUGGUCCGGUUCUGACGCUGAGGCGCGAAAGCGUGGGGAGCAAACA
rnacentral:rRNA from 1 species